CAGUACCUCUGGAAGAGCAGCCAGUGCUCUUAACUGCUGAGCCAUCUCUCUUGCUCCACAUUUUCCUCUUUUUAAGUGCCUUUUCAUAUUACUCACCAACAGUAAAACUCCUACCCAGGGCUCAUUGUUUCUUUUCUGGUAUGAAGUUACAAGUUUAGUCACUAAUGUCCACUGGGUCAGCCAUACCUGCCCAUACUUGCUCUUAUUCAUCUUGUUAAAGAAAACCAGUUCUUGUUGAAAACUCAUUGUCAAGGAAAAUUUUAUUGUGGACUAGCAACAUAGGUUCAGGGUCUUCUGAAAUAGUAUUUAUGUAGGAAAAGAAAUUGGCAUUGGUUCUAAGUAUAGAAUAGACUAUUAGGAAAUUAUAGUUUAACAGCAGGAUAGAGGUCAGGGUAUGGAAAGUUAUCAAUAGGUAAAAUCAAGACCAAGUGAUAAUUUGGCUAAAAUGUCAUAGCAUGGUUAUUACUGAAGGCAGGCCAAAGUGAUUACAUGUUAGCCAGUGCAAUGUGGAGAAUGGAGAACUGAUUUGAUAUCAACUGAUAAGAGCUGAUUUGAUAUCCAAGAGUGAUCAGAUAUCAAAGGUGAGUAGUCUUCUUACAAAAAUUCCAUUUGAAGAGGAGUUGCACAGAUGAGCCUUAGGGAAGAUUCAGGAGUGUGACAAGUCUGGUCAUGUAAAGAACUGUUUUGUCACCCUUUGUUUCUCAUUAAGCACAAUGCUUGGCUCAUGGCAGCUGGAAGACAAUUCUGACUAAGCAUAGUUCUAGGAUGUAUAGAGAAAUGUAUAGUCACUAGGAUAAGAGUAAAAGUUACAUUGCCACGUAGAAAGAAAUGGAGUAAGUCACUCAGCAGAACAAUGUGCCAGCUUACUCUGAGUAAUCACUGGUACUGAUUUCGUGGUUUAAAACAGUACCCAUUCCCAGUUGUUAUACAUCAUAGGUUCAAGUGUGCUCAGCUGCUUUUCCCCCCUUUGCUUAUGGUCUGACCUUGCAUUUGAAGCUUAAAUCACUCUGUUGUCUGUGUUUGGAGGCUGAUUAUGGGAUGGAUCCCGGGUGCUGCAGUCUCUAGAUGGUCCAUCCUUUUGUCUCAGCUCCAAACUUUGUCUCUGUAACUCCUUCCAUGGGUGUUUUGUUCCCAAUUCUAAGAAGGGGCAAAGAGACCACACUUUGGUCUUCGUUCAUCUUGAGUUUCAUGUGUUUUGAAACUUGUAUCUUGGGUAUUCUAAAUUUCUGGGCUAAUAUCUACUUAUCAGUGAGUACAUAUCAUGUGAGUUCUUUUGUGAUUGGGUUACCUCCCUCAGGAUGAUACCCUCCAGGUCCAUCCAUUUGCCUAGGAAUUUCAUAUGCCUGCUAGAUUUUGCUGAAAGGACUCUGAUAUAGCUGUCUCUUUUGAGGCUAUGCCAGGAUCUGGCAAACACAGAAGUGGAUGCUCAUAGUCAGCUAUUGGAUGGAACACAGGGCCCCCAAUAGAGGAGCUAAAGAAAGUACCCAAGGAACUAAAGGGGUCUGCAACCCUAUAGUUGGAACAACAAUAUGAACUAACCAGUACUCCCCGGAGCUCGUGUCUCUAGCUGCAUAUGUAUCAGAAGAUGGCCUAGUCAACCAUCAUUGGGAAGAGAGGCCCCUUGGUCUUGCAAACUUUAUAUGCCUCAGUACAGGGGAACACCAGGGCCAUGAAGUGGGAGUGGGUUGGUAGGGGAGUGGGAGUGGGAAGAUAUGGAGGACUUUUGGGAUAGCAUUUGAAAUGUAAAUGAAGAAAAUACCUAAUUAAAAAAUCACUCUGUUGUUCAGUCUUAGCCAUCAUGGGUAGGCUUGCUGAGUUACAGAUUGGUUAGUAUUCCUUCUUGGCAGUUGUCAGGUUAUUUGUUAUUUAUGGUAGGAUUCAAGAAAGCCUCUGUGCCCAAAUGAACAUAACUAUAAGAUAGCUUCUAUGUUUCCUCAUGGAAGACAUGUGUCUUCGUUAGGGAGCUUAGCUAACUGGGCCUGGCCUAGCUAGCUCUCUACUCGUACUGUUGCUCAACACCAAGUCAACUGAUCAGGGAGUCUAAUUGAGUUUCUAGAAUUCUUUCUGCAUUUUGCUUUUGUAUUUUUUCAUGACUUAAUUUUUCAAGUAGUUUACCAUGUCUUUCAUAAUCUUUUGUCAAAAGUUAAAAGCAUGUAGUUUAGAGCUGCAGCUAUCAGCAUGGGAAGAAGAAAGGAAAUUGAAAGAUAAAAAUCACAACAUGGGAACUUGGGGUAAGUAUUUGAAGGCAGAUGUAAAGUGAAAGAAGAAAGAAACAUAGAACCCAAGAGUUGGAUGAUUGAUAGCAUGAGGACCAUUCAAUACAACUAGCUCAGUAAUCUAAAAUGAUAACAUCAGAAAUUCAGAAUAACUGAGCUGGAACUUUUGCAAGUGUGCAGAGUGAUUCUGGCUCUUACUUCUCUCUUUUACCUUGAUUAUGCCAAGAAGAAUGUAGAAUAGCAUUGCAGAAUUCUGUGCACUUGCCAGUUAGCACUUGGUGUGUUAGAAUGUCUUAGGGAGAGCUACAUGGUUCUAAAUAGAUGGCAAAUAAGACAUAAUGGUUGUCUAACAUUCUCUGAGUUCAUGAGUUGGCACAGCAGUUUCAAAGAAUAGUGACAUGGCCUGCAACCUAAAUUACGGUUUAUGGCCAUUGUUUCAUAACAUGGGUGGUUUUAAAGUCAGAUUCAAGGCAUUUCUGCCUUCUACACAAUUCAGCAAAGAACUGGAUGCAGACUAUUGGAGUUCAACAUUGGAAUGUAGGGACAAAGAAUAUUCUUUCUUUUCUCUCUGUAUGCUCUAAGUGAACUUAGAUUCUGCUCUUAGAUUUCUGCCACUAAGUUAAUUAUUUCUAGAAAUCUUUUAUUUACCUUAUCAAUUUCUACCCUGAGGAAAAAGACAACUCACUCAGCUAAGAGGCCAUCUCUCUUCUUAAAGUAUAACAUGAUGAAAUUUUCAUACCUUCCUUUCAACGUGCUUUGUCGCCAGAAUAUCUAAGCCUUAUCCCUUAAUUACAAUUAAGUAAAUAAGUAAAUAAAUAAAUUAAUUAAAUAAGUAAGUACUAAUGUGACUUUUUUUUUCUUAAGCCAUUAGAUUUCUGCAGGAAGUCUCAGGUGUGAGUGAGUUCCUCUUAACCAUACUGUGGGUUUGGAACCCUCUUCAGAGCUUAGGAGAAAUGGGAUCAAAUGGAAGCACAUUCCCUAGAGGAGAUGGAUUUUUUCUCUUUUAGCAGCCAUUAAUUGUCUAUAGCUCCCCAUCUAAGGCUGGGGCUCUGUUAGAUUUCACCCAUCCGGUUGGGAUAUCAGCUGGUAUUGUCAUUGAGGAGGUCUUCUUUAGGUCACCAUAUUGUUGAGAUUUUAUGGAUGAGACUCCCUGUAAUAUAUGUAAGACACAGUCUUAGAGCUUAUGUCUCCAAUCCUCAGAGUGUUGCAGUCAUCCCAGCCUUUCUUACAUAGUACUUCCUGAAUGUUAGGCAUGGAAUGGUGUUAUAGAUAUAUCAGUUUCUCUUUCUCUGUACACAUCACUGUCUAUGGUGUUCAUAUCUACAUUAGAGGAUAUUCUGUGGUAUCUGGUGAACCUUGGCUCUUAAUUGUUAGUUAUAUUUCUUUGUAAAAUUCUCAUAAGUCAAUUAGAUUUUGUAGUUAUGGAAGCUUAUUAGUAAAAAUAAUUAAAGAUUUGUAAUUGCCCAAAUAAUAAGGAUCUAGCAACUAUAUCAAAGAUCUAGCCUCCAACAGGUCAUAGCCAUCAAUCUUCUGUCUUAAGCUAUUAGACUUCUUCAGGAAUUCAGCUUCUUAGAUGUGAUCCAGUUUCUCUUGAACAUAUUUUGUAUGUUCAUUGGUAGGGAACCAUAUUUAGAACUAAGGAAAAAGGGGGUCAAGUGGGCAGAUGGGUCUCAGAAGUCAGUAUGUAUGUUUGUGUAUUUCUUGUGAGUGACAAGCUUUCACACUUUCAGCAUCCUGAAGUGAGGUUCGAAGUUUCUCUUUGGUCAAAUUCUGUGCUAAUACAUCUGAGCCUGAGUCCCAUUCCAAUGGAGGGGCUGUCUGUAGGUUCACUUGUUCCUAACUCUUCUGCUUCAAAUCCUAUCUCUUUUAGAAGUACAUUCAGAAACAAGAUGCUGCAUCUCUCCAGUGUCUACAGUAAAAUACUUUUAUCUACUGAUGACUACUGUAGACCCACUUACCUUUCAAUGUUUUCUGUCCUGUGUCAAUUACUAUUCAUCAUUAUACAUUCCUCCUUUCAUACAUUUUUAAUGUUUUCACCUGCUUUAGUCUUGUCUCCCAAUAGUUUUGUCACUUUGAACCUGUAUAGCUUUCAUUUCCUUUACUCUCCUUUGAGUGGAAUUUUGGGAAAAAAAAAUAAGUAUAGAUACAAACCUAGGUUUAAUUCAUGAUGUCAUGAAAGAUUGCAAUUAGGAUUUUUUAAGUUUUACUGUAUGCUAUAAAAUAUGAUUAUUAUCUUUAUGCCAUGGUUGCUUAAACUGUGGAGUCUCAGCUGGGUACAUGGGCAUCAUGUGGGAGAUUGUUGUAAAUAACAAUUCUCUGUUCUCCUUCAAUAUCCUACUGAAAAAUAAUUUAUUCUUUCAUGUGCUUCCAUGCUAGUUCCUUUGAGCAUUCAAAACAGAGUUCAUUCAUAAAGUAGACAUCUCUAUUAUAGUUCUAUACCAUGAAGGCUCACGGGACAUUGUAGAAGAUGAGGCAGAAAGAAUGGAAGAGCUGGAGGAUUGCGGGGAGUGCUAUAAAAGGCUGGCUUAUUGACACACCAUAGCUAUCAUGAUUGUGAACUCACAGCAUCUGAAGAAGAUCGCACAAGAUUAGGUCAGCUAAAACCCUAGCAUUGGUAUGGUAGAUAAUCUUCACAUCAUUUUCCUCUCAUAUUAAAGAGCUAUUGGUAGUAGAUUGUUGUUGAGGAAGCAAGACUUACUCUUUACUGAGGAUAUAGCAACUGUUAGGGAUACCAUAUUGCAACAGGUAGGACCCACAGCCAUGUACAUAUGGACAACGCUAACUAGAUUUGGCGGGUUAGACAAACAAACUACAUGAAGUUUUUAAAGGGAAUAAUUGAAAACUAUGGGGAAGCUAGAGGGGGAAAUGAGAGCUAGAUAUAGUCUUUGCAUAUGUAUAUGACAUUCUCAAAAAUGAAAAACAAAAUUGAAGAGAAAUUUUGGUUAGAAAGAACAUGACUAUUCUAGCUCACUGAAAGACAGUGCAUAACAGUUUCCUCAUUCAAGGUUGGUAUUAGAAUUGCCAGGUGAAGUGGUGGUGUUCAGAUGGGAACUGAUCAUAGGAGACUUAAAGGAUAAUUUUGUAUGUAUGUGUAUGGCAUGAGCCUGUGUGUGCAUGUUUGCAUGUGUGCACAUGUAUAUGCUUCUUUGGAGACAAGGUCUUUCAGUGAACUGGAGCUAGACUGGUAGCCAGUAAUCCCCAGAAAUUCUUCCACUGUCACCUCUGCAACACUGGUGUUGCAGGCAUUGUGAAGUCCAUGCCCAGUGUUGUUCAAGUAAAUGCUGGGAAAUCUAGAUCAGGUCCUCGUGAGUGUACAUAAAGUUUCCUCAUGUCUUGCGGGGAUCAAAUAUAUUCUACUUGCUCCCAUCUUUCCUUCACUCUUCACCACCUAUUACUCCAAAAAUUAUGUGCCCCCAUUUUCUCAUCCCUGUAUAAAGACCCAUACACUCUUGAAAAUGGUCUGCAGUUAUCAGUAUAUUGGCAACUCCUCUACUUCUACCCUUCCUCAUUUGAUCUAUGACUAAAUUUCUGGCUUCGUAUUUGUUGGUAUUUGUUAAUUUUGGCCUAGGUCAUAUCUGGAUUCAACCUGGAAAGAGAUCAUAAAAGGUAUUGAUGAAUUUCACAGUGCAGAGGAAGAAUACAAGUAGAGUCACCCUUUAGAAAAACUAGAUGUCUGAUAUCCUGUCCCACCAUGAUUCAAAGGCCAAAAGCGAGAAUCCGUGAUUGAAACCAUGGAAAUGACUUCAGAGUGACAAAACCUUAAGCAUUGGGGUAGGAUGAGUUCUCAAGCCAGGUGAGCUUCAUAGGGAAAACUCUGGUGACAGAGUUCUAUAAAUCUUAAACGUAUUUUGAGAAAGCAGGAACUGAGCAUGAAGACCGUUAACCCAGCUGGCUUGCCGUCUUGCUGAACAAUUCAAACCAGAAGUCCCUUGAUAUGUCUGUUACUGACAAAACUGUGAAAGGUUCUAGAGCUUAUAAAACAAGUCAGUCUGCACUAAGUGAAAAGACACAGUGAGGCCAGCUGAGAUGGAAUGAAGCAAGGUUGCUAACUAGUCUAGAGGAAGCCAAGUGCCCACAUUUUUUAUGGACAGCUAAUUACUAAUGAAACAGUGUAAGCUAUUGACAAGAAUAACAGUAGAAUAAUAUCCUGGGUGGAGUAGAAGGUAGUCUUUGGCUUCAUCAAUUUUGAAAGUAUUCUUUUGUCCUUAAACUUAAAGCGUAGUUUAAAAAUAUACUUUGGAAGUCAACCAUAAAUAUACAGUUUAUAUAUAUAUAUAUAUAUAUAUAUAUAUAUGUGAGAAAUUGUCAAUUCUGCUGUACUAUGGGUUAGUAAUCCAUACUGAAGAUUUAUUUUUAAAAAUACCAACUCUCUAAAUACCUUUUCUCAGUUCAUUUUUAAACAUCCAGCCAAUGAAAGGGCUAAGUAGAUUAUUUCUUCUAAAUGCUAAGAUCUAUUUUUCUCUAUGGGAAUGCUCUUUCAAUCUGUUUAACUUCACUUUAAAAUCAUUUUAACUUAAAAAAACAAAACAAACAAACAACCAAAAAUCCUUAGUGUGCGCAACUUUGGAUUGUGAAGGUCAGAGGGAAACUUGCCAGACUUAUUUCUCUCCUUUCACCAUACGUUUCUGAAUGGUCCAAAUAAGGUUAUCAGGAAAGGAGGAAAGUACCUUUAUCCCCCUAUCCUCCUUACUGGCCCUACCUCAAUGUACCACACUGAAUCUAUAACUGUUGAUCUGGGUAUUAAAUAAAUAUUUGUAGAGAGAUGAACAAAGAGUAAAAUGUACAGAUAUAAAAAACUUCAUAUGCACUAGAAUGAUAUGAUUUAACAGAUUAAAAACAAUAAUGAUGCUGGGUGGUGGUAGCACAUGCCUUUAAUCCCAUAACUCAGCAGUCAAUGGCUGGUGUAUCUCUGUGAGUUCGAGGCCAGCCUGGUCUACCAUUCAAGUUCCAGGACAUCCAGCGCUGCCCCAGAGAAACACUAUUUUAGAAGAACCAAAAACAAACAGACAAAUAAACAGAAACUCCAAUUAUGUACAAGUCAGCCCUUUUCCUUCUUGUGAGAUGAGGAAACUGAGGAAACAAGAACAUCUUCUUUUGGGCAUCACAACUGGUUAAUGGCAGAACGAGGGCUCAUGUCUAAGCCAGUCUGUUCAAUAUUCUUUGCAUUCUAAUCUUAUUUUCAUUUCCCCCUAAGAGAAUAAUGAAUUGUUUCUGUGAGGUUGCUUCUGACCCAAGUCACAUUAAACCAGCCAUGCCUGACUUUGUUAAAAACUCAAACUCAGAAGGACGAAAAUAAAGCAUCUUUCACCCCCUUCCCCACAGCCAAAAUAAUUGGCAUAUUUGCUUUUAUUCAACAAUGAUGAUUGCAAAGACAGAGAAAGUGAAAAGCUGUGCCUUCGAAUUAAUUUGAAUGUCUGAAUGUCAGACGCAAUAUAAAGGGGGUAAGCUGGCCUCAAGGAACUAUUGCUACAUAAAUGGGAGGAAAAGAGAUUUUCUUCUGCAGUGAAUCAAUAGAAGUUCAUGGAUCUGCAGAUUUAUUUGUUUCUCUCCCUGGUAACUGAAACCCCUAAUUACAUUCACAGUGUACUUAGAUAUUGCAUAGUAAUUACUUGUGACAGACCCAACUUGAUACAGAUGGAACAAAGUAGAUGAAUAUUUAGACCCAGCAAUACCGCUAAUGACUCUGAGACCAGGUAACUUUUCUUCACGGGUACAGUUUAUUACAAAGUGCCUGUGAAUUGUUUGUCUUCUUAAUUAAAGGUUUGGUUGUAUUUCCAAGGGGUUGUUAAUAAUGAUAAUGAUGGUAGAGUCACUUAUCAAAUGUGUGAUCCUGUUUGAGUUAUUCGUUAUUCAGAGCCUAGUGUUUCUCAUUUGUACAGAAAGGUUUAUAGUGGCACCCACCACAUAUGGUUAUUGUGAUAAUUAAAAGAGAGCAUGCAGGUAAGGUUGUGCAUGUGUGCUCACAUAAAAAACACUCAAUAAAUGUUAGCUAUUAUUACUGUUGUCAGCUACUCCAUGGGAGUUAUUUUGUAAAACACUGUACUUCCAUUGCUGUUGCCUGAAACCUCAGUAAAUCAUUCUUUCCCACCCCCACCCCGCACACCCUGGAUUACUAUAUAAUUUGUGGAUAUUUCUACCCUAAGGAACUUCCCCCAAAGCACAAUGACUUAUAGCUGAAAAGAAAGAUCCUUCUUCAUAUGGUUUUUAGAACACUCAGUUCAAACAUAAAAUUCAGCAAAUGCAAGAUGUACUGUUUAUUCUUUAUUUUCCAAGGAAGCAAGGUUCAUUAAUUGGAUCAAUUUCCUACAGAGCAAACAUCGAUCUUAAAUAUCCUCAUUUAACAUUCUCUCAAAUUUUGGCACCCCUUCCCAUUCCACUGAGUUGUGUGAAGACCCAAUCAUGACAUAUAGGAAAAGGUGCUUAUUUUUUUUAACUCCAUGUUGUUGAGGGGAUUGGUCAUUGAUAUUCUCUGGAGAUCUACAUUUGAUACUUCCUCCAAAGCUCCAUAUAAAAGCAUCUCCGAAAUAUUUCCUCCUGUCUUCAAAAUGCAGCUGGGUAUAAGCUUUCUUUCCUCUUACUAUAUUUCAGAUGGUCCGCUUUGAUACCUGAGUAACAUACUUCAGUGUAGAGUAGGAAGGUAUACUUCGUUACUUCAACUAUACUCCCAAGAAGGAAAGGUCUGUGCCCGAUUAGUCUCUUUGUCGCCCACAGGGCAAGACCAUGUAUCUUCCUUGCAGUAAUGCCUCGACAGAUAUUUGAUUAAUGAGAAAACAAGCUUGUGAAAACCCAUACACAAUACCAAAUUCUGUGGAUUAUGUAGAAAUAGUAAAGGCAAAUAAAGAUACAGCAGUUUCAAUGUUCAAAUUAAUAGCAAAAUAUUUUGCAAUUAGAAACUAAUUAGAAAUCCACUUUCAUUGUAUCCAUCUCAUUACUCAGUGAGUCAGCGCAUAUUGAGCACCUUCCAGGAGCCAAACAUUAUGCUCAGUGCUAGUAUUUCAACUCAAGAAAAUAAAUAUUUCCACUCUACGAAGCCUGCAGUCCUGAAGAAAUAAGAAAGAGUUAUAAAUCUAUAACUUGUUUUUGCAGAUUACACAUUAGAUCAUUCUUUAUAAAAAUAGGUCACUGAAGAGUUCUUGAGUUCCAUUUGUCAGUUAUUAAUUAUAGCACUGUGGUCACUGUUCAUUAGAUUGAAUUUGGCUAUUGAUAGUAGGUCAGGCAAAUUGUUUUCUAGUUAAAAUAAUUACUUAGCUACUGAGUGAAAUUUGCUUUGAAUUACUUUUCAUAAACACAGGUAAUUGGGCAUGUCCUGCUCAGUUAUAAAUACACAUACCAAAGUACAUUGAUCUACUUUCAUUGGUAAUGAGUUUUGAAAACCAUAGCUUUGGUGCUUAAACUUACUUUUCUUCGCUUAUUGAAAAGUCCAGAGGGCAUAAGCAAACUUCAGAGAAUAUUUCCACAUAACAAGAAAAAAAUUAACUAAUGAAAUUUCUGGACAUAUAUCUUAAUUUAAAAAAUCAUAAGCAAUUCUGUACUGACAUGGAUUCAACCAAUAUGAUCGAAAAUGCAUUUCUCAGUUAUUGACCUGUAUCUGGUUUACAAUGAAAAAAAGGAAAGUUUUCUUUAAUAAUUCAAACUAAUUUAUUGCUCUUAAGUCCAGAAUAACAGAAAGUAGCUUGAAAGUCACAUUUUAUAUUUCUAAAUAUAUAUGCCUGAAUAUUAAUGAUGUUUUGAAAUAUUUCCACCUAAUGGAUCAUUUGAAUAAAGUGAUUUAAAAUAGUCAUUAUUUCAUGUACUUCUUUGUGAUUAGAACAUUGAAAAAAAAUCUAUUCUCAGCAAGAUCCAACAAAUAAAACAAAUGAUUCUAGUCACCAUGUUGCACAAUGGAUUCCUCAAACUUCUUUAUUGUGUCUAAUUGAAAAGUUUCCAUUAAGCAACAUAUUGAUAACCUUACCCUUUCUCAUCUCCUGAAAAAAAAAAAAAAACCCUUUCUAGUCCUUGUUUCUCAGAAUUCAUCUUGAUUUUAGACUUCCCAAAUAAGUGAUAUUAUAUGGUUUACCUGGCUUAGCCUGGAAUUAUUUUACUUAAUAAAAUGUUCACUACUUAUUUUACUUAAGGAAACCUUGUCACCAAUAUCUAGAUUUUCUUUCUUGCUUGCUUGCUUGCUUGCUUGCUUGCUUCUUUCUUGCUUUCUUCUUUCUUUCUUUCUUUCUUUCUUUCUUUCUUUCUUUCUUUCUUUCUUUCUUUCUUUCUUUCUUCCUUCCUUCCUUCCUUCCUUCCUUCCUUCCUUCCUUCCUUUCUUUCUUUCUUUCUUUCUUUCUUUCUUUCUUUCUUUCUUUCUUUCUUUCUUUCUGUAUCCCACCAAGUAUACAUACCAUAUUUUCUCUAUCCAUUUCAAGAACUCUAGACACCUAGGGUGUUUCUUUAUCUAGACCACCAUAAAUCAGUGUUCAUAGUGUAAGUGGAAGUUCAGAUAUCUAUUUGACAUUCUGGUUUCAUUUGUAUCCUAUGUAUAUCCAGUAGUAAGGCCACUGGAUCAUACGAUAGAUAUAUUGUUCAUGUGUUUCGAGACACUGCCUGUCUUAGUCAGGGUUUCUAUUCCUGCACAGACAUCAUGACCAAGAAAUAAGUUGGGGAGGAAAGCGUUUUGUUUACUCAGCUUACACUUCCAUGUUGCUUUUUAUCACCAAAGGAAGUCAAGACUGGAACUCAAGCAGAUCAGGAAGCAGGAGCUGAUUUAGAGGCCAUGGAGGGAUGUUCUUUACUGGCUUGCUUCCCCUGGCUUGCUCAGCCUGCUCUCUUAUAGAACCCAAGACUACCAGCCCAGAGAUGGCAGCAUUGACAAGGGGACCUCCCGCCUUGAUCACUAAUUGAGAAAAUGCCCCACAGCUGGAUCUCAUGGAGGCAUUUCCAUAACUGAAGCUCCUUUCUCUGUGAUAACUCCAGCCUGGGUCAACUUGACACACAAAACCAGCCACUACACUUCCAUAUAGGUUUUCAUAAUGGCUACACUAGUUCACAAAUGUGCCCGUAUUGUGCCAGUUUCCUUUCUUCCUUAUUCUCUCCAGCACUUGGUCAUUGUCUUUUUAUUACUAGCAUCAUAAGAGGUGUGAACUCUGAUAUAGCUGUCUCUUGUGAGACUAGGCCGGGGCCUAGCAAACACAGAAGUGGAUGCUCACAGUCAGUUAUUGGAUGGAGCACAGGGCCCCCAAUGGAGGAGCUAGAGAAAGUAUCCAAGGAGUUAAAGAGAUCUGCAACCCUGUAGGUGCAGCAACAUUAUGAACUAACCAGUACCCCAGAGCUCUUGACUCUAGCUGCAUAUGUAUCAAAAGAUGGCCUAGUCGGCCAUCACUGGAAAGAGAGGCCCAUUGGACACGCAAACUUUAUAUGCCCCAGUACAGGGGAAUGCUAGGGCCAAAAAAAUGGGAAUGGGUGGGUAGGGAAGUGGGGGGGAGGGUAUGGGGGACUUUUGGGGUAGCAUUCUAAAUGUAAUUGAGGAAAAUACGUAAUAAUAAAAAAUAUUUUUAAAAAAGUAAAAAAAAAAAGAGGUGUGAAUAUGUCAUUGUAGUUUUAAUUUGAAGUUAUGUGAUUGUUAUUGAUAUCAGCCAUUUUAUUUUACCAUCUCUUUUGGUUUUUUUUUGGGGGGUGGGGGUCAGGAAUAUCUCUUUAUUAUAUAUUUCCCCAUGUUUAAAUUGAGUUGUUGGUAUUCUUACUACUGACUGGAUUGAAUUCUUUAUUCUGUUGGGAUAUUAACUUUAUGUCUUGAGGGGCUACAUUUUAGAGGUGAAGAACAGAUCCUGCUAGGCAGGAGAGAACUUUCUAUCCUCCCUCUUCAUCGUCAUCACCCUCCUCCUCUGUGCAAUCACUCAUCAUGUCUACACUCUGCAUUGGAGGUUAUUACGACAUGUGCACAAUGAUUACAGCGCCUUUGUGCUGCUUUUAUUUCCCGCAAUAGGUGAAGAAUAAUGCAUAGAUGGCAAACCCUCAAAGUGGCCUCUUUUAAUAUAUAUUAGGAACCUGGCAUUUUCAAAUCGUAUAGUAUGAGUCAACCUGUUAGCAGCAGUAUUGGACUGCUUUAUGUACAAGUUUAUGGUCUGACAAAUAGACAAAAAUGCUUUCCAUUUUUGUGAUCACUAGUGAUCACUCCUAGGCCUAAACAUGGAAAGCAUUUUUGUCUUUUUGUUGUUAUAGAAAAAUAUCUUAGGGAGACUAUUAACAAAAGAAAGGUUAGUUUUGCCUUAAGUUUCUGGAGUGACAUGGUGUAGAGCAUCCAUCUGGUCAUGCCAUUUUGCUGCCAAAGUCCAGGGGGAGCAUAGCUUAUCAGUUAGUGUGAGGGACAGAGGAUUCCACGUGUAUUUGUCCCUUCUGAUCUUUCUUCUUCUUGUUGUAAACCUACGAAUAUUCAGGCACAAGAAAUUCACCCUAAUGAUGUUACUUUAUUCUAAUCAAUUAUUGAAGGCCAUAAUGACAUAACCCACAGUCUGAAUACCUGAGGGUGAGGAUGGGAUUUUAACACACAAAAGUCUGGUGGACAUCCAAACCAUAUUCACACCAUACAAGCAGCACUGCUAGCAUCCAGAUACAGCAUGUUCUUAUAAGUGGGAGAGGGAUGCCCAAUAGGACCUGCAUCAGACUUGAGAGAGUACACAGGGAGACCUGAUCUCUGAUCUCACUUGUCCCCCACUCCCUCCCUUCCAAUGUUUCCCAUUGGAGCAAGAUGUGCUACCCAGAGAUUAAAUGAAAUGAAUGAAACCAUCUACUACAUGUGUGCAUGUAUGUAUGUGUGUAUGUAUGCAUGCGUGUAUGUAUGAUGUAUGUAUGCAUGUAUGUAUGUAUGGGCUUUCCUGCCAUACAUGUGUGAUGCAUGGACAUACAAGCAGAAAAGUGUCAGUCCUUUAGAGAAAGUUCACAGGUAUCAUCAUUAACUUAAUAUCCAUGCAACCUUUUGAAGAUGAGCCUCCUUCUUCCCAUGUGAUGGAACAAAAGACUAAUAAAAAGUUGUGCUCACAGAAGCCUCUCUCUGCUGGACCAUCAGACCGCUUUUGAAGUUUUCUGUGUAAAAGUGAUUCUUCCUGGAAACAAAGAAGCUGGUGUCAGUGAUAAGUGGUUUAGAAGGUGACUCAUCAAGUUGGAGAGAAAUGAUUGAAAAGCAGAGGUCAGGAGCUUCUUGGUAACUGUGGGGGGUAGACUAUCAUCCCAGGGACAAAUUAAACACAUAGUGAGAGAAGAGAAGGCCAUAGCAGUUAUUCUGCAGGUUACAUUGGGCUACUUUUUAAUAUUCCUCAAGAAACUUGGGUGAAUAAUGUAUGGGCUUUGUAUAUUUCUUUGGUUAUUGGUGUGUGCCUGGGCUAAAUUGAACCACAUGGCUUCUGCAUUACCUGGGGUCUACACUUCACAUUUUUUUUGACAGAGAUAUAAUUAAAUUAAUUGCCAAAGAUCACACACUCAGAAAAUGCUGCGUUGUUGCUCUUGCCAAAGUAUAUUGUCUUGAGAUCCAUUCAUCUCAGCUUAGCUUUGGGUUGAAGUCACCUUUUCUGAAUUUGUUGAUUGAUUGUUUCCUGGGGCAGGGUGUCUUGAAGGCAUGGUGAGUCUGUAAUGUACCUUUUCUAUGCUCAGUCAGAUUAGUCUUUUAUAUUUCUUAUGCAGAGAUUAGUAACGGUCAAGUGUUGUUGAAUCAUUCAGAUGAAUAGUUCCAUGAUUAGAUCUGCUUUUAGUGUUUGGUAUGAUGUCAAUGUAUUCUUUAAGAUAAGACCUGGGUUUAUUUUUUUCCUUUAGUCCAUUUAAUCAUGACUUUGAUGUUCUAACAAUAUUGCACUUCUAAUGGCUUCUAAUUGCUCUUACUGCCCUGUUUGAGACCUAGGACAAUCAUUGUCCUACGUGUCACCUGCAGUCUACUCUACUUCCUCUCAUUCAUUGCCUUUAUAAUUAGAAAACAUUUAUUAAUCAUGUAGAUUUGCUCACUUUUUUUAAAAAAGAAAACAAAUUAUAUUUUGUUCCUGAUAUACAGGGACAGUUUAAACAACAGUGUAGGUGGACAGGAAUGACUAACAGAAAACUUCUGCGGUGUUUGGACCUCUGGACUUUUCUUCCACUACAGCCCACAUCAGCUCCUCUUAAUUCUUUCAGCUUCCUCCUGAAACCUAACUUACUUUCACAGGCAUGACCUUUUCUUAUUCUGAUGUGAUUGUUCAAACUGGCUUUUAGUUUUCUUGUUUAUUCUUAACUUUGGCGCUUAAUGUUUUCUCCUUGGUUACAUGGUGAUAAAAGAAUUUAAUUGAGUCUCACACCUGACAUCAUUCCAAGCCAAAGUGGAUGCAUUUGUUCUUCUUCAUCAAGAUCAUUAACAUGCCCACCUCAGACAACUGACAGAAAGUUCAAACCUAGAGCCAAUGUCUAAAUUCUGGCUUGAAGACUUUACUAAUAAUGGGUCUGAUUUCGGGUGAGUCAUUGAAACUGCCUGGAUUUCAGUUUUCCCAUCUCUAAAAGGGAGCAAUAAAUAUGUCUGUCUCUUAUACUUGCUUGGAACAUUAAGUAAAUUAACAAAUCUAUGGUGUUUGGGGAUGUGCCUGACACACAGCUUUCUAUCAUUCCUGAUCCUUGACUUUGAAGGCAUAUGAACUUGAUUGUGUUUGAUUUUUUUUUAAAAAAAUAUUUAUCUAACUAAUUGGUUUAUAUGUAUUUGUGAUUGUGUUUGUGAGUUAAUGUGCAUACAGGAGCGAGGGCAUCAGAGUCACUGAAAUUGGUAAGUGUUGAGUCACCAUGUAGAUUUUGAGAACUGAACCCAGAUCCUCUCUCUACAUGAGCAGGGCAUGUUCUUAACUGUGGUCCUUUUCUCUAAGCCCUAAGCUAUUUUAUUUGUAUGGCCAUAGUUUUUUCUUUUUGAUACCCAGAAAGUAGGGUUAAUGCUAGAUUUCCCAGAAUUCUUAACAGAGGCAUGAUAUAAAGUUUAUCAUAUGUUAAAAUAUUUAAAUUCCACAUGUGUAAAGGACAUAGCUAGGCUUUGACUAAUAAAAAGCAUCCAUUAUUUUGGCUCUUAUUUGGAACAUUUUUAUCAUUUGUAUUCAUUUAUGGAAAUGAACCUCUGCCACAACUUACCAUGGGGUAUCAAGUGACAGCUUUAGUAAGUCAGUAUUCUUCUUGUCCAUAUAGUUCCUGGGGAUGAAAGCAAAGUUAUCAGAUUUGGUAGUAAAGCCCUUCAUCUGCUCCAGUUUCUCACUAGUCUGUAUUCUAUACUUUUAGAAGAAAUAAUCACAAAGAAAACGAAAGCAACAAGGAAACAUAGGACAAAAAGCUUUUUGUUGUGUAAAAGGAGCACCAGUAUGAAAGUCUUAGAUUAAAAUCUGCAAAUGAGACUAAAUUAAAGGAGUUUUGAAAUGACUUUACCCACCAACCAAAUUUUACUGUAUUCAUAGUGACUGCUUUAUUUUCCCACUAAAAUAGUUAUUUAACAAUCAAUAAUACUUAGUUUGACUACCCUUCAUAUGGUGGCAGAAAGCAGUCCUGUGUUUUCCAACUUCCCUGGUAUUAUUGAUAGCUCAAUAGAGCAUCAUAUCAGCAUGAAGGAAUGCAGUCUGUUACAUUAACUUCUUAUGAUUUUAGUUAGAAGACAAUGAAUUAGCACAGCUUAUUCAGCAUUUCUCAACCUCUCUAGUGCUGCAAGCCUUUAAUAUCGUCCCUGAUGCUGUGGUAACCCUAAUGAUAAAAUGAUUUAAUUGAUACUUCAAACUGUAACUUUGCUACUGUUAUGAGCUGUAAUUUACAUAUCUGAUAUACAUGAUAUCUAAUAUGUGACCCCAAAGGGGUCAUGACCCACAGGUUGAAAGCCUCUGCCUUAGAGAGUAGAUGUGAUCUAUUGCUAAGCACAACAUAAGAAACAGCUCUAGCUGUUUGAAAAUUGCUAACUGCUAUUAGCAAGUGUAAUCACAUGCCAUAUGACCAGAUUCUCAAAUCUCAAAGGAAUAACUCAAAACAAGUUUCAUCUUGUUUUACUAAUAGCUUAAUAUUACUAGUUUUGCUUGUGCAAAGUUGAAACAGAAGCAGAUAAAGAAACACGAGGCUGUGCUCCACAAUAAGGAACCAGGAUUUUUUUUUAAACCCACCUUCAAUUCAGCACAGGGCAUUAUGGAUGGCCACUGGGGCCAUUAUCUAGAUGGCAAACAUUGCUGGAUAGAGUAAACAUCACUUUGAACCAUAAUUCAUUAGCCAGAAAUCGAUUGCAGGACCCACCUGCUUCAAAGAGAGACUGAGAAGGGUAGGCUCCCAUUUAUGUUACUUUGUAUUACAGUUUGACAGUCUGGAAAGGGAGCACACAUACUUGGCAGAAGGCAAAGGAUCCUUGUGACACCUGCAUUAAUGAAUGUGGAAGCAAUAGAAAUAUGCGUACUCUUGCCCCCUCAUUCUCUGUUGUUCCUCUGAUCUCUGACAUAGGAUUUAUCAUUUAUUAUAAAAUCAGUAACUAUUCAUGAGUGAACAGAUCUGUAUCCAACUCCUUCCCUUAUCUCCUUCUCUUUCUAUCUUCUCCGUCUUUCCAAUAACUCUCACGUUGUUUUUUUUUUGUUUUUCUUGAUCGAAAUACUCACAGAAGGUUGUCAUCUAGAACUGCAAUAAAUGAUUGAAGCAUAAAGAUUCAAUUAAAACUCAGGAGGAGGCAUGACAGGAGAAAAGAAAGGGGCAUUACUGUAAAGUAUUAAGAAGCUUUGCAGUUAGUCACUGAGAUGUUGAACAGUCUUACAAAGGAUGAACGUAUCUCGUUGAGAGCAUCUGUCAGCCAUGGGUAAGUCAGUAGAGAUGGCUGACAUUGAUCUCCAUCUUUGCCAUGGGGUUUCCUGUGUGCUAAAGAGACCCUAGGCUUGACAUAGUGCUGUCGUCUGGGCCUAGACUGGAGAUUCUACAUAAGUUAGACCUUUCUCUUGAUGAAAAUCAUCUAGUGCCUUGCUGUGAAUCAAUGUGUAAACUCUAUCAUGUGCCAUGGUAAACUAAGCACUUCACUGUCAUGGCAUUGCCUACAUUUGCUUUAAUUUUCCUAGAAUGUUGAAGAACCUUCUAGUAAAACACCUCCUGUCUUCACAGACUUAAUAUGCCCAAUCCUGAUUGUGUCUCAGUUAUAUCCUUUCUGAUGGAAAUUUUGAUGAUGUUGCCAUCCACUAAUUCAGCACUAUGUACUUGACACUGUGCCAAUCAACUCAUAUAUAUUAUUCCUCUUACUCUUCUCAUUAGCCCCAUUUGGUAUUUAGAAGCCUACAGAAUUGUGUUAAGUUUGAUUUUUGAAUUUACCUCAAGUCAAGCAUAUUAGAAAAAGGCAGAGUUCAAAAAUCAAAUCUUGUUGAGUUCAAAGCUUAUGUAAUCAAAUAGCUAAGCUGCUGAUUAUUUCUUGAGAGAGAAAGAUUAUUUUAUCCUCUAUUCUAGAACAAAGGGUUUUAUAUAGAUAUUAGCAUAACUUUUAAAAGGUCACAAUGGAAUGAAACUUGACUAAAUUACAAAUACCUAUGACUCCCCCUUCUUAGGUUUCAGAAUUCCAGACCAGUGACUCAGCAAUCUGUCCAGGGACCUCUAAAGUGUUAAAUAUUGCUUAUUCAAAGAAUGAAUCCAUAGUUUGUAUAAGCUUUUCUAGAUUUCUGACACCCACAAAAGUUACAGUCCAUUUGGGACACACACACACACAAAUACCUCUCCCCCCCCCCAACACACACACUUCUAUCAUGUGAUCUCUCAUAAAAGUAUACAAACACAUUAUUCUUUGAUUAAAUGUAGAUUUCCUGAAACCAAAGUUUUAGCCAUAUGUUCCUGAGAAACUUUUCAUAGAGAUGGCAGACUCAGACUAUGAGUCAACAUUUUUUUUAAGGCCCCCUCGAUGUCCUUAAAAGAAGAAAGGGGUAGCUUCUAGGGGGAGUGGAAGAUUUAAUCUUUUUGCUAGUUCAGGUCCCUUGGAGGCAAAAAUGGUGUUAAUAUAGAUCGCAGAAUUGUUUCAUAUCUGCAUAUUAUCAAGGGAACUGAAAACAGGUUCUUACUGCUCUGGCCAGGAGCUGUUUAGUUUGGGUGUGGGUAUGUGAACCUGCAGAGCAGAGCCAGACACUGGAUUCUACCCCCCCCCCCCCCACACACACACACAUACACUGCUUCCUACUCCCUGAAUGAGAUGGCUUCUUAUCCCUCUAUACAGCUGAUAACAGCUGGAUAUUGUCCAGUGCUCCUCUCUUGGUGUUCAAGAGUGACAAACUAGGUUCAUGUCCUCAAUGGCUUUCUAAAAAUAGACUUCUAGAAGGAAAUUAUGCACUGGUGUUUCAGAAAGAGCAUUUUCUCUGUUUUUCAACUGCUACAUUGUUUUUCACUAGACUGUAUAUGGGGUGGGUCUUUAGGGUUUGACAAUCUUAGGGAAAUUAGUAAGCAAAGGAUUAUGAUUCAUGUCAUGGUAGGUGUAGGAGACUAUGUCUAACAGAAGAGACUUCAUUUAGAUUCCUAACAAUUAAAUGAAUCUAUUCUAACUUGAAAUCAAAGUAUUGCAUUCUGAGAACCCAACAUUGAUUUUUAAAGUAGCACAGUGAGGUAUUAACACUUUCCAAACUUAUGAUACUGUUUCUAUCCAUUAGAAUUGGUUACUGGUUACCAUCUUGAUGCAGUAGAAACAUUCUGUCAAGUGACAGAGAAUUCUGAUUUUGUACAACUUAAAGUUUAACAGACCUGCUGGGUGUGGUGGCGCAUGCCUUUCAUCCCAGCACUUGGGAAGCAGAGGAAGGCAGAUUUCUGAGUUCCAGGCCAGCCUGGGAACUACAAAGUGAGUUCCAGGACAGCCAGGGCUACAGAGAAACCCUGUCUGGAAAACCAAAACCAAAACCAAAACAAAACAAAAAAGUUUAACAGACCUUCAAAAUGUUUUUUUUUCUAUUUCUAGGGGAAAAAUGAUACUUUCUUCUUUGAAGAUGUACAGAAUUGUUAUAAAUAAAUAAAUAAAUAAAUAAAUACAUGGCUUAGCAUUCUUUGCUUGUUCCCUAACCCACAUCUGUUUGCUUUCUUAGGAGUUUUUCAUAAAAUGUAUAAAGUUUAUAUAAAAUUAUUCUUAGAUGCUUAGCUUUUGUUGGAAAAAUCACCCUAAAUUUUCAUGAACUGAAUUUUAAACUAUUCUGUGAAAUAACUUGCGAAAUAAUUACACAGUUGGGCAUAAGAAAGUGCCAGGUGAGAUCACUGAUACAACUGACAGGACCCUUCACAGUCCAUUUGGAAAGCGAACCUCUCUCUCUCUCUCUCUCUCUCUCUCUCUCUCUCUCUCUCUCUCUCUCUCUCUCUCUCUUACACACACACACACACACACACACACACACACACACACACACACACUCCCACUCACUUUCGAUUUAACACCAGAAAAACUAAGUCAGGUCAGUGUGUAUACUUGUUUGCACCAUACAUCCUUGGAACAGUCACUUCAUUUUGCAGCAUUUUUUUUAAUCAUAAGACAGGAUACAUAAUUUGAACAUGCCAAUGUGGAUGAAGAAAAACCCAUGAGACCUCAAACCUAUGCAAAGACCUGAGGAAAGUUGGAAGCAGGAGAGGUAUUCUUUCUCACAGAAAAACGCACAUUUGAUUAGUCCCAAAUGGUUGAUCCUGAAAAUGUACAUACAAGAAAUAUAUGAACAGAGAAGGUUAUAUUUAGGAGUAUAUAUGUAUACACACACACACACAUACACACACUGACAAUUAAAAAAUUAAGUCAUGAAUUUAAAGUUAAGUGGAAAGGGGUGUAUGAGAGGACUUGGGGGAGGAAAUGGAAAGGAGAAAUAUAAUUAUAAUCUCACAAAUUUUUAAAAUAAGGAAAGAGGAUGUUUCAACGAUUAUAUCAGAUGAAAUCAUACCAGCAGAAACAAAUUGAAAACUGUGGAAUAUAAACCCAUUGGACUUUUCUUAUCUAUAUCAUCAAUAUGCAGUGAAAUUUUCAUUAUUAGUGUCCAGGUUUCAAGUAACCAAGAUCCUAUUAUGAUAUUUAAUAAGGCCAAAAAUGGCCUUGUUUAAAAGAUAAAUGAUAAAAUGAUUAAUGUUUGUAAGUCCUUAGCAGUUUUCCUAUCCAUGUGUUUUCUGGAGUCUCUGUCUAUAGACAGCCAUGGAACUUAUGCGGACACUUUGCAUUCAGAGAAAUAUCCCCCAUUUCCCUGUAGUUUGAGAUUGUGACCUUAUUUUCUCUGCUCUUGGGUGCUUUGCUUGAUGCGCCUCUGACAAUGUGUUCCCCACUCCCCCUGUGAUUUCGGAGUAUAUACUCCCUUGUUUCAUGCGUGAUGUUUUGAGUAGUAUUUACAUUCACUCAUGUGGCACAAAUUUUGAAUAUUCCUUAUGAGCUUGUACACCGCAUACCUGGUAGAACCAUCAUCCAGAGGCAGAGUUCUCAACCUUCCUAAUGUUGUUCAUGACCCUUUCAUACAGUUCCUUCUGUUCUGAUGACCCAACUAUAAAAUUAUUCUCAUUGCUACUUCAUAACUCUAAGCUUGCUACUCUUAUGGAUGGCCAUCUAAACACGUUUUGGAGAUAGAGGUUUGCCAAAGGCGUUGUGCCUCACAAGUUAUGAAGAGCUGGUAUAGAGCAUCACUGGCAUCCAGGACUUAACUAGACAGAUGUAAGUUAAAUAUUCUCCUUAUAUGACAACUAUAGGGGGCUGAAAAUGCAUCAUAUUGACCUAUAUGAUGUAGACAUAUCUAUUCAUUGUCCAUGAGAUAUGUGAUCAUUAGGUCUUGAAUGAGACCUUCUUUGGAUAACUGCCUUUAUGUUUGCAUUGCAAUCCCAGACAUCCAGUUGAUCCCUAAGCAUAGUGAAAGUGACUCUAUAAGAAACAAAAGAAGUGAAGACAAAGACCAAUGGAGAAACUCUUGUGAAGGCAAAGGUGGGAACUGAAUUAGGGCAGCUAUAACAGAGGAUCAAAUAAUCUAGGUAUAAGAUAUCCCUGCAAAAACGUUCUCUCCAAUAUCCUUUGUGUUUAAUUUUUAAUUGAAAAUUUGAACAUUUUUUGCCAACUUCUCAUACAGCAAUGUUAUCAAAAUAAGAACAGUAUAUCCCCCCUCUCAGUCUACUAUGCACUACAACAUAACUAAAAUCUCAAAUAGAAAUAAGGACUGCACUUGCAUAGCCUCUGCUUCCUUUAUUAGACUGUCAAUGCUGAGCAAGUUGACACAAACUAAGUACGAACACAAGUUUAACAUAUUAACACCUGGUAGAAGGGAAGAGUGUGCUUGAUUGAUCCCAAUGAUAGCAUUAACUUGAGAAAACCAAGAAAUUCAGAGCAGUGAAAUCUAGUUUUGCAGGUUGAUGACAAAAUUGCCUCUAGACACCUAUAAAUUUGGUUUCCUAGUGGUUUCCUAGGAGGGAGUAUUUUCAUAUAAAGUAGGUGUAGGUUUUGGAAUUAUCUGUGGAAUGUGCAUGGUGACAAUCUAUAAUCACAGCAUUGUAGACACUGAUACAAUGCUGUCCUUAUCCCCUCCAGUUCCCAAAAUAGCAUGAAGUGCCAAUGUCAGUGAGUGGCACCGGUCAUUUUCCAGCACUUAAAUCCCUUAGUUUUGUCUAGCUUAGUUGAUGGCAAUUUAAGAUGACAAAUGAGUAAAAUGAGAGUCCUGGCUUCAGAUUAGACAGACCAGUAGCAGUUUCCUGGGAGGAUACCCCUGUCUGACUAAUGCUGAUUAACCCUGACAAUGGUAUCUUAGACUGUGUGCCAGCUAAACUCCCAGUCUUCAUAAUAUCAGGAGGCUAGUAAUUUUCAUUCAUAUUUUUUUACCUGAGGCUUCGAGAUGUUAGGGUUCCAGACAGUUCUGUAGAUGUGUCAGAGUUGAGAUUUGAACCCCUGAAGGAUGCUCCUAACAUCUCUGUUCUCAUAUGAGAUGGGAAGGAAUGCUGUGUUAAAGUCUGAGUGCCUAAAGCACAAAUAAUAUCUACAGUGAUGUUGGGACGCUGACUGUAAAGCCACAGAACAGGAAAUGAAAUUCCCAUGCUUCCUCUUGUUGGAGCAAAGGCGAUAUAUAGCUUGAGUUAACUGAAUAUUAAGGCAGGAUGAGAGUUUCCUAUACUCACCAUAAAUGAACACAGAUGGACCCUCUUCAAAGAGAGAUUCCUCCUACUGAAUUUUAAUAGUGUUCUCCUGCAGAACACAUUUGCAAAAUGGAUCAUAACAUAUUCAUAUUUUUCUCUAGCCUGCCAAGUAUGAAAUGAUUAAGAAACCUGCUUGCACUUUAAAUAUUGUUAGCAUAUCUGUGUGUAUUUCAAGUGUAUCUGUGAUAAAUAUUUGUUAAUUGAAUAUAUACACACAAACAUACAUGAUGCAAUAUAUGCUUACAUAUAUCAAGUUUAACAAAUAUUUGUUGAAUUAUGAUGAAUAUAAAUAUGGAGUUGUAGAAAUUCAAAGAUAAAAUUAUUUCCAGCUCUCAAGGAGCUUUACAAGAAGAGAUGAGACAUUUCUGUUUCAGUUGUGAGUGGUCCACAAUAUUUUGGUAGUGUUCCAUCAAGGAUGGCAUCUGUCCCAUGGGUUACUGGCAUCACUUGUACAGCAUUAUAAAUUCAGCUUCAUCGGCAGGGUCAUACAUAGUUCAGCUAUAUCAGAAAUGCCAUGGAAAGAGCCUCACUGAUCCCUGAGGUCUUCUUGUUUGUUUGUUCAAUGCCAAGAAUUAAACUCAGGCUUUAUACAUUCUAGGUAGCCACUCUAGGCAUCAACUACACACUCAGUUGGCUUGUCUCGGUAGUCUCUUAAGGGGAUUCUGGAGCAAGCAUGUUAAUGCUGUUGGACUCACUGGGCUAUACAAAAAUGUAAAUGCAAAAGAUGGUCUCAUAGUUGACAAGCUACAAAGAAGGAAGCAUCAUUUCUAGUAGUCAUGGAUAUCAGGUAGAUUUUUAGUGAGCAGAAUGAUUGGAAA